rnacentral:lncRNA from 1 species
AGAUGUUUGUUAUCCAGUCUAAGGUUGCAUAAAUCAAAGAUUAAUUCAUUCAGCCAGAUCAUCAUUCAUUAAGCAUUUAUUGAGUACAUACGAUUUACAAGUUAUGCAUAGCCAUUGCCUACCUUAUGUUUACAAUCUAGUUGGGAAAAUGGGAUAUACACACAAAAUAACAUUAGUAGAUAAUAAGAAAGCACUAUAUACUAAUACAAUAAAGUGCUAAAUUAUAUAAUAAAAGCAACUAGAAAAUAACAAUGUCAUAGUAACAAUAAUAGCAUGAAUACAAUGUUUUAUAGUAUAUGAAGCUUUUCCUUCUCUCAAAAUAAUGCUAUAAGAUACAACAGGAUAAUAUAUAAUAAGGUGCUAAUCGUGCAGUACAGGCAUCCUAACAUGAUGUUAGAGAUGCAUCAACAAGGAAACAAUUCUACUCAAAUCAAAAAUUAAACAUUGAUUAAGCAAUAUAGUAGCAUUUAUAUAGCAGAACAAUUUGCUUGGUAGAUUAGACAGAUAGUUCUUUGCCCUCAAGAAGUUUACAAUAAAGAUAUGAUACAAAUGCAAAUAACUAUGAUUUUUUAAAAAGACAGCAAGAAUUGUGAAAGAAGUGAAAACAAAGUGCCAUGUGAGGUACUACGAGGGAAAGAUGUUUUCUCUCAAUUUAACAAACACUGAUUAAGCACCUACUCUGUGCAAUUUAUUAAAUGCCUACUAUGUGCAAUAUUUGAAAGCACCUACUCCGUGCAAUGUUUAUUAUUAAGUACCUACUAUGUGCAAACCAUUAAGCGCAUACUACAUUGCCACAUGCAAAAGCUAGAAAGGAAGGCUUUCUCAACUAUAUUCCAUAUUGAUUAGGCCUUAUUCAGAGGUGAAAAAUUACUUUUUUUGUGUGGGCCUUUAUUUUGAAGAAGCAUGAGAACAUGAGAACAGCACCGGGUUUGUUUGUUUGUUUGUUUUAAAAGAUGAUGGGCCUUGUUUAGUCUGGAGAAGAAAAUGCUGAGGAAUAAUUUGUUCUUGAAAUUGAAAUUUAGGAAGAUGUAUUUCACAAAUCUACAUCUCCAUUUUGAAGAAGAAUAUGAAGGGAACUGGUUUGAGGAUAUUUAGAACAAAAAACAAUGUUAUCAACAAUUAAGUUUGUAAAACAUUGUGAAAAAAGUUUUUCCGAGAGGUUAUAAGGCCUCUUGCCCAAUAAGAUGAAAAAGGACUGGGAUGGUUUAGAUGCUGUCUUCUCCUGAAGUAGGACUAUUUAACAUAGCUGAGCUCAUAGAACUUAGAUCUCGGGAAACUUCAGUUGAACAUUGACAUGCCAAAGUCUCCCAAUUCCAUUUUUCUAGGCUCCCAAUGAAAUGAAUAGUCCCAAAGCAUUCGUUUAUGCCAGUCCAACAAAAUUUUGGAAUUCUCAACACUUGAAUUUUGUCAUCUGUAAAAUGGGGGAGUAUCAAAAAUAAUUCCUGUUAAAUUGAAUUAGGUGAGGUAAAUAUACUUUGUAGCAAAGAAAUGGAAACAACCCACCCAUGCUCGUGAAUCUAAAAAUAUGGCAAAACAAAUCAGUGUUAAUACUAUGCUAAUAAAAUUGAACUAAAACAAAGGUUGCAUUGUGUUGAAAUAAAAGAUGUAUUAUAUCCGGGGAAAAAAUGACUAUAAAGAUGAACACCAUUUAAAGAUUUAUAUGAGAUAAAUACAGGUGAAUUUAGCAGAAGUUUGGGGAAAUGAAAAGAUGGGAGGAAAAAAACAAAAGAUAAACCUGAAUUAAGAUAAUUGAAAACAACAAAAACAAUUCUAGAGGUGAAAGAAUGAAAUAUGCCUCCAAUAUUGUCAUAAGAGAAUGAGGAACUUGUGAGGCUAUUGGAAUUACUGUAACAUUUGAAACAGAUUGUACAAUUUUAACUACUAUUACUACAAAUCAGAUAUUUUUUAUUACUCAAAAAGGAAAAUGAAAAAGAAAAUAGAUAAAUAUUUGAACUAUUCAAAAUUGCUUUUCUUUUCUUUUUUCUUUUUCUUUUUUUUGGAAACAAAGCGGUUUUAAUCACUUGCCCACAGUCACAGAUCUGGUAAGAUCAGCCACAUUGGGACACAGAUUCUCCCGAGUCCUAGGGACUGGUUCUAUGCCAAAACAAUGCAAAUUUUAAAAAAUAUUUGUUAAGCAUUUAUCAUCAACCUGAUCAUUUUAACCAAUGAGUAAGGCAGUGACAUAAAAUUAGAAAGUUAACAGCUUAUUAUAUUUAAGUAUGAAAAGGCAUGGUUCAAUGGGACUAAAAGAAAAAGGCCAAAUUAUAAGAAUGAGAUAAUAGAUAAAUGCCAGAAACUUCAAACAACAAUCAAAAUUAAUGAAGAAAAAAGAGUAAUUAAAGGAAGUAACAUUUAGUGGAAAAUAUCAUAAUGAAAAAUUAAUUCAUAACCUUAAAAAGAUAGGCAACACAAAAAUUUGCUUGAAAAAUGAAGUUGCAAUGAAAGAACUUAGGUAACAGUGAGUUUCCUUCUUAAAGGGUAUCAGGAAAGAGCAACUUCCAUUAGCCUUCAACCCAGUGCUCCUUCACCCUUGCCCUGAGUAAAAAGGAUGCCCUGAGUAACCAACUAUUGGAAAGAAAUCAGGAAUCCUGCCACUGGGAAAUGGCUGACCAAUCUAUAGCCAUACACUGCUGAAAUAGAAAACAUGUCUCCAACACUGGGCUGCAAGGUGAGACAUUACGGGUACAUGGUGGUAUUUAUCCUGUCAGACAGGGUUCCCUUUUCAAUGACUAUUGGAAGAGUGAAUUUCCUUUGCUAUGGGGCUAGGUCAAGAAAUAUCACACAUGGGGCAGAGAACCCUGUAGAGUCCUUGAUGAUAAUGGCAUGGAAGCCCCAUGUAACAGAGAAGUGGGUACAAAUCUGAGGGCCCUAUAGGUGAAGAAUGGCUGACAAGACUUUAUCUCUGCUCUGAGUAUUAUGUGAUUGGAGCAAAAGAGCAACAAGACUAUUGCAUGAGGUAUUGGAGUAUGCAAGAGGAUAGUGAGAUAGCUGAUUAGCAAGUAUCCCUGCUGCUCCAGGUGGGCAGAGAGGUUUACAGGUACAAUGUGGCACCUUCCCCAGCAAUGAAAGGUGGUUUGUGGUUGCAGUGAGUCUACUUGGCUACAGGGUCCCAAAAAGGAACAAUAUCCAUUGGCCUGCAAUACAAUGCUCCUUCAGCUUUGCCCUUGGUGGAAAGAAUGCUCUGAUUGGCCAAGUAUUAGAAAGAAACCAGGGGCCCUGCCUCUGGGAAGUGGCUGUCAACCUACAGCCAUAUAAAACUGAAAUCCUGGCCACUGACCAAUAGAAAGGAAAGACCUGCCCUCUGACUGAAUAUCAAGACCCUCCUUGGUCUCAGAGAGCAAGAUAGCUUGUUGGGCCCCAUCUCUGGGGUCAGAGUGGGGCCCUCUGGGUGAACUGCUGCUUCCCCUGGCAGACCAGGGCAGCAUGGAACUGACUGGUGACCCAACGUCUGGUUUUUUACUGUGGAGCAAAUGCCAGGAGGACUGACAUGAAGCUGGGGUAUGAUGCUCAUUCUAACUUGGUCCCACUGUAAGGCCAGUUCUUACUAGCAAUGGCAAACAAACAGGGACAACCUUCCUAUGGAGAAUAGCAGAUGAAUCCUUAAUCAUACACUGGCAGAAGGCUUGGAAUAGAAAUGCUGAGAAAAGUCUUUUCCUCUAAGUAGAAAUCAUGACCCUGUUUGGUCUCCAGAGAAUAAGUGAGUUUGCAAACCUCAGUGCUUAGGGGUGAGUAUCUAUGAAUGAAAAGGGAUAACUCCCAAGGCAGAGAGGCUCCCAUUUGAACUGGCUCUGCAUUAAGUGAUUUUAAGAUCUAGAAGGCCUAGGAAAGGAGCAAAAGAGGUGGGGGUGGUAUUCCAUAUACAUUAAACCUGAAAGCCAGUAGACUAGAAGCCCUUCCUGCCAGAGAAUGGGUAGGAAAUAGAAACAAGGCCUUUAUCUGUGAUUGGAAGGGCUAACAAAUGAGGGUCUAUGCAGUGGAUUUUGUUUCUCUCUCACUGUGUCUCUUCAAGCUCCAUAGCUGUACCCCUGGGCUGUGAGGUGAGGCACUACGGUGCAUGAUGGAGUUUACCCUGGAACACAGGGUUACCUUGUUGGAUGGCUGUGGAAAUAGUGAAUUUUCUUUGCCAUGGGACUGUCACCGACAAUAUUCCACAUGGCCAAGGAAACCAUAUGGAAUUCCCCUUGAUUAUGGUGGCAUGUAAGCCCCAUAUUACAAAGAAGUGGCUACAAACUGGGGACCCUACAGGAGAAAAAUAAAUGAGAAACCUUUAUCAGUACACUGAGGGACAGAGUAGGAGGCCAAUGAACAGUUUAAGAAAGCCUGCACAGAAAUUAAAAUGGAGAAGAGGAUAUUAGAAAAGGGGGCAAAAGUCAAGUCCCCAUACCUGGGCUAUGAGGUGAGGCAGUCUGGUGUAUCAUAGUAUUUACCCUGGCAGUCAAGGUAACCUUUUUGGAUCAUUGUGGGAAUCGUGCAUUUCUUUGCAAUAGGACUUGGACCAAUAGGAUUCCACAUGGGGCAGAGAACCAUGUGGAAUACCCAUUGGUAAGGAUGGGAUAUCAAGUCCAUAAACCAAAGAAGUAUUACAAACCUGGAACCCUAUGGGGCACAUAUUUAGCCUAUACUGAGGGGAUAGUGUUGGGGACCAAUGUACAGUGUAAGAAAGCCUGUGCAGAAAUCAAGUGCAAGAAUAGUAUAUUAGAAAAGAGAACUAAAGUCAAGUCCCCACCCCUGGGCUGCAAGGUGAGGCACUACAGGUGCAUGAUGGUGUUUACCCUGGGAGACAGGGAAACCUUUUUGGAUCACUGUGGGAAAUGGGCAUUUUCUUUGCUAUGGGACUUGAACCAAUAGGAUUCCACAUGGGGCAGACAACCAUGUGGAAUCCCAAUUAGUAAAGGUGGGAUGUCAACUCCUUAUAACAAAGAAGUGGUUCCAAACUGAGAGCCUAUGGGUGAGAAUGAAUAAGAAACAUUGAGAACAUGCUGAGGGGAUAUUGUUAGAAAACAAUGAACAGAGUAAGAAAGACUGUGCAGAAAUCAAAAGUGAAAACAGGAUAUUAGAAAAGAGAGGUAAAGUCAAGACCCCAUUCCUGGGCUGCGAGGUGAGGCACUACAGAUGUAUCAUGGCAGUCAGGGUAAACUUUUUGGAUCACUAUGGGAAUUGUGCAUUUUCUUUACUAUGGGACUUGGACCAAUAAGAUUCCACAUGGGGCAGAGAACCGUGUGGAAUCCCCAUUGGUAAAGGUGGAAUGUCAAGACUAUAUAAGAAAGAAGUGGUUACAACCAGACCUAUGGGUGAGAAUGAAUGAGAAAUAUUUAGACCACACUGAGGGGCUAAUGUGGAGGUCCAAUGUACAGAAUAAGAAAAAACUUGCAGAAAUCAAGUGGAAGAAAAGCAUAUUAGAAAAGGGAGCUAAAAUGAAGACUCCAUCCCUGGGCUACAAAGUGAGGCACUACAGGUGCAUGAUGGUGUUUACCCUGGAGCACAGGGUUACCUUAUUGGAUGACUGUGGGAAGAGUGAAUUUUCUGUGCCAUAGGGCUGGCUCAAGGAUCAUCACACAUGGGGCAGACAACCAUGUGGAAUACCCCUGAGUACUGUUGGUAUGUCGAACCCAUAUAACAAAGAAGUGGUUACAAACCGGGGGCCCUACGGGAGAAAAAUGAAUGAGAACCCAUUAUCAGGAUACUGAGGGAACAGGGUUGGAAACCAAUGGACAUUUGAAGAAAGCCUAUGCAGAAAUCAAGAGAUAGAAUAGGAUAUUAGAAAAAGGAGCAAAAGUCAAGACCCCACCCCUGGGCUGCGAGGUGAGGCACUACAGGUGCAUGAUGGUGUUUACCCUGGAGCACAGGGUUACCUUAUUGGAUGACUGUGGGAAGAGUGAAUUUUCUGUGCCAUAGGGCUGGCUCAAGGAUCAUCACACAUGGGGCAGACAACCAUGUGGAAUACCCCUGAGUACUGUUGGUAUGUCGAACCCAUAUAACAAAGAAGUGGUUACAAACCGGGGGCCCUACGGGAGAAAAAUGAAUGAGAACCCAUUAUCAGGAUACUGAGGGAACAGGGUUGGAAACCAAUGGACAUUUGAAGAAAGCCUAUGCAGAAAUCAAGAGAUAGAAUAGGAUAUUAGAAAAAGGAGCAAAAGUCAAGACCCCACCCCUGGGCUGCGAGGUGAGGCACUACAGGUGCAUGAUGGUGUUUACCCUGGAGCACAGGGUUACCUUAUUGGAUGACUGUGGGAAGAGUGAAUUUUCUGUGCCAUAGGGCUGGCUCAAGGAUCAUCACACAUGGGGCAGACAACCAUGUGGAAUACCCCUGAGUACUGUUGGUAUGUCGAACCCAUAUAACAAAGAAGUGGUUACAAACCGGGGGCCCUACGGGAGAAAAAUGAAUGAGAACCCAUUAUCAGGAUACUGAGGGAACAGGGUUGGAAACCAAUGGACAUUUGAAGAAAGCCUAUGCAGAAAUCAAGAGAUAGAAUAGGAUAUUAGAAAAAGGAGCAAAAGUCAAGACCCCACCCCUGGGCUGCGAGGUGAGGCACUACAGGUGCAUGAUGGUGUUUACCCUAGAGUACAGGGUUACCUUAUUGGAUGACUGUGGGAAGAGUGAAUUUUCUGUGCCAUAGGGCUGGCUCAAGGAUCAUCACACAUCGGGCAGAGAACAAUGUGGAAUACCCCUGAGUACUGUUGGUAUGUUGAACCCAUAUAACAAAGAAGUGGUUACAAACUGGGAGUCCUACAGGUGGAGAAUGAAUGAGAAAUCUUUACAGGACACUGGGUGUAAAGUGUUGGAUGCUAAUAAGCAUAAUAAUAAAGCCUGUUUUGCUUGAAACCAUACAGGGAAUAGCAAAGAUGCUUGAAAAUUGAGAAGAAAUAAAGACCUUACCUCUGGGCUGUGAAGUGAUGCAUUGUGGGAUGCCUGAUGGACUUUAUCAUGAUAGCAUUCCUUUUUGGAUGACUGUUGGAAUAGUGAAUUUUCUUUCCUAUUAGGCUGAAACCAGUAGCAUUCCACAUGGGACAGACAACCAUGUAGACUCUCCCUUUAUCCUGUUAAAAUGCAAGGCUCUGCCUUCAAGAAGUAAAUUAGUGACUGGUGUUGAAAAAUGGCUGAGAAACCUUUGUACUCUGAGGAUUAAGUGAUUAGGGCAAAAGAACAACAAAAGUUAUUGUUGAGGUAUUACAAUAUGUUAUAUAAAUAGCUAAUUAGAAUCCCUGCAGUCCCAGCUGAGCAGAGAGAUAGGGGAGUCUAGAUGCAGUGUGGCACCUUUUUUCAGAAAUCUCAUGUGGUUUGGGGUUGCAGUGAGUCUUCUUGGCUACAGGGUCUCAACAAGGAGCUACUUCCCUUGAUCUACAAUUCAGUGCUCCUUCACCCUUGCCCUGGAUGGAAAGGAUGCUCUGAUUGGCCAAGUAUUAGAAAGAAACCAGGGGCCCUGCCUCUGGGAAGUAGCUGUCAACCUAUAGUCAUAUAGUGCUGAAAUCCUGGUCACUGACCAAUAGAAAGGAAAGACCUGCCCUCUGACUGAAUAUCAAGACCCUCCUUGGUCUCAGAGAGCAAGAUAGCUUGUUGGGCCCCAUCUCUGGGGUCAGAGUGGGGCCCUCUGGGUGAACUGCUGCUUCCCCUGGCAGACCAGGGCAGCAUGGAACUGACUGGUGGUGACUCAAUGUCUGGUCUUUGCUAUGGGGCCAAUGCCAGGAGGACUGACAUGGAGUUGAGGCACCAUAUUCAUUUUUCUCUGGGUUAAUUGGAUUUUAAUAGAAAGCCCAGAUAAGGAGCAGAGGUGUUGGAGGUGAUUUCUGAUGGCCAUUCGACCUGCAUGCCUUUAGAAUGGAAGCUCUCCAUUCCCAAGAAUGGGUACAUAACCUACCUAUUUUCUUUUCUGUGAUUGGAAUUGCUAACCAACCAGGGUCUGUGCAGAGAAUUUUGUUUCUGUCUGCAUGUGGAGAGGUGGAAAUGUUGUUUAUGCUGUGUGUGUGUGUGCUAGAGAGAGAGAUAGAGAGAGAGAGACAGAGACAGACAGAGAGAGAUAGAGAGACAGAGACAGAGGAGAGGAGAGGAGAGAAGAGG